rnacentral:rRNA from 1 species
AUUGAACGCUGGCGGCAGGCCUAACACAUGCAAGUCGAGCGGUAGCACGGAGAGCUUGCUCUCGGGUGACGAGCGGCGGACGGGUGAGUAAUGUCUGGGAAACUGCCCGAUGGAGGGGGAUAACUACUGGAAACGGUAGCUUAUACCGCAUAACGUCGCAAGACCAAAGAGGGGGACCUUCGGGCCUCUUGCCAUCGGAUGUGCCCAGAUGGGAUUAGCUAGUAGGUGGGGUAACGGCUCACCUAGGCGACGAUCCCUAGCUGGUCUGAGAGGAUGACCAGCCACACUGGAACUGAGACACGGUCCAGACUCCUACGGGAGGCAGCAGUGGGGAAUAUUGGACAAUGGGGGGAACCCUGAUCCAGCCAUGCCGCGUGUGUGAAGAAGGCCUUAUGGUUGUAAAGCACUUUAAGCGAGGAGGAGGCUACUGAGACUAAUACUCUUGGAUAGUGGACGUUACUCGCAGAAUAAGCACCGGCUAACUCUGUGCCAGCCGCCGCAGUAAUAC